CCUACGGGAGGCAGCAGUGAGGAAUAUUGGUCAAUGGCCGGAAGGCUGAACCAGCCAUGCCGCGUGAAGGUCAGUGCCCUAUGGGCGUUAAACUUCUUUUGUGCGGGAGCAAUAAUGGUCACGUGUGGCCAGACGAGAGUACCGUACGAAUAAGCAUCCGCUAACUCCGUGCCAGCAGCCGCGGUAAUACGGGGGGUGCAAGCGUUAUCCGGAUUUAUUGGGUUUUAAGGGUGCGUAGGCUGUGAGGUAAGUCAGCGGGGAAAUGCCCCCGCUCAACGGGGUGAAGUGCCAUUGAUACUGGCUUGCUGGAGUGCGGAUGACGUGGGAGGAAUGUGUGGUGUAGCGGUGAAAUGCAUAGAUAUCACACAGAACACCGAUUGCGAAGGCAUCUCACGAAUCCGCGAUUGACGCUGAUGCACGAAAGCGUGGGUAUCAAACAGGAUUAGAUACCCCAGUAGUC
rnacentral:rRNA from 1 species